rnacentral:rRNA from 1 species
UGAACGCUGGCGGCAUGCCUUACACAUGCAAGUCGAACGGCAGCACGGGUGCUUGCACCUGGUGGCGAGUGGCGAACGGGUGAGUAAUACAUCGGAACAUGUCCUGUAGUGGGGGAUAGCCCGGCGAAAGCCGGAUUAAUACCGCAUACGAUCUACGGAUGAAAGCGGGGGACCUUCGGGCCUCGCGCUAUAGGGUUGGCCGAUGGCUGAUUAGCUAGUUGGUGGGGUAAAGGCCUACCAAGGCGACGAUCAGUAGCUGGUCUGAGAGGACGACCAGCCACACUGGGACUGAGACACGGCCCAGACUCCUACGGGAGGCAGCAGUGGGGAAUUUUGGACAAUGGGCGAAAGCCUGAUCCAGCAAUGCCGCGUGUGUGAAGAAGGCCUUCGGGUUGUAAAGCACUUUUGUCCGGAAAGAAAUCCUUGGCUCUAAUACAGUCGGGGGAUGACGGUACCGGAAGAAUAAGCACCGGCUAACUACGUGCCAGCAGCCGCGGUAAUACGUAGGGUGCGAGCGUUAAUCGGAAUUACUGGGCGUAAAGCGUGCGCAGGCGGUUUGCUAAGACCGAUGUGAAAUCCCCGGGCUCAACCUGGGAACUGCAUUGGUGACUGGCAGGCUAGAGUAUGGCAGAGGGGGGUAGAAUUCCACGUGUAGCAGUGAAAUGCGUAGAGAUGUGGAGGAAUACCGAUGGCGAAGGCAGCCCCCUGGGCCAAUACUGACGCUCAUGCACGAAAGCGUGGGGAGCAAACAGGAUUAGAUACCCUGGUAGUCCACGCCCUAAACGAUGUCAACUAGUUGUUGGGGAUUCAUUUCCUUAGUAACGUAGCUAACGCGUGAAGUUGACCGCCUGGGGAGUACGGUCGCAAGAUUAAAACUCAAAGGAAUUGACGGGGACCCGCACAAGCGGUGGAUGAUGUGGAUUAAUUCGAUGCAACGCGAAAAACCUUACCUACCCUUGACAUGGUCGGAAUCCCGCUGAGAGGUGGGAGUGCUCGAAAGAGAACCGGCGCACAGGUGCUGCAUGGCUGUCGUCAGCCCGUGUCGUGAGAUGUUGGGUUAAGUCCCGCAACGAGCGCAACCCUUGUCCUUAGUUGCUACGCAAGAGCACUCUAAGGAGACUGCCGGUGACAAACCGGAGGAAGGUGGGGAUGACGUCAAGUCCUCAUGGCCCUUAUGGGUAGGGCUUCACACGUCAUACAAUGGUCGGAACAGAGGGUUGCCAACCCGCGAGGGGGAGCUAAUCCCAGAAAACCGAUCGUAGUCCGGAUUGCACUCUGCAACUCGAGUGCAUGAAGCUGGAAUCGCUAGUAAUCGCGGAUCAGCAUGCCGCGGUGAAUACGUUCCCGGGUCUUGUACUCACCGCCC